UUUUACUAAAAAUACAAUCAGCAGAUAACUGUUUAAUUUAAUUGCAUAUUUAAAUUGACCAGAUAGACCUGUCUACUAAACAAAUGUGCUUAUGUAUAUCAGUAGUACACGAGUUCAAUGCUUAAAUAGAAUAAUAUCAUGAUGUUUUAAUUUGAUCCAAUAGAUAAAACUUAUGUUGUGGAGGAGAAAGUCCGGGUUCUCUGUAUUGCAUAUACCAGUAACACCAAGAAUUUUACGCCUUACCCCGAAAACGGGUAAUAUGUAUACAUUUCUGCAACCUACAAUGGGACAUGACUCAUCAAUUUUUAUAUAUAUUUUUCGCAAGUGGAGGUAACUAUGUGCUAUACAUGUUGACUCACUGCCUCAUGAUCACAUAAUAAUAUCACGCCAUGGGGUGCAUAAAAGGAAGAUGCAAUCCAAAUCUCAUCUUAUUCCGGAACUAACUUUCUCCACUUGUGCCAUUCUCACAUCUCGUCCCAGCUCACAUUCCAAGUUUCAUGGAAACAUGACGAGGGAUCGGUUAACCGAGUUAAAAUCUGUACAAAAAACAAAUGGUGACUACGAUUAUGACUACGAGUGCAUUGUGGUUGAUUCCGAUUUAUUCAAUGUGGGGAGAGACUCUGAAAUGAUCUCUUUUCUGGAGGAGGUAAAUAAUUACUAUUUUUAUAAAUUGGGAGCAAUGUUUUGAUUUAUACAAAUUAAUUUAUACAAUUUAAUUUCAUUUAUACAAAUUAUACAAAUUUUAAAAUGAUUACUUAGUUGUGUGUAAAUUUAGGUCGAAUGUAUUCGAAAGAAAUUGAGCGAGAUAAAAAAUAACAUAGAGAAAUUGACGGUUAUCCAAGAUGACAUCUUAUCCAUUAUAUCAUUUUCCUAAGAUAACAAAUUUUAUCUUUGUAUUUUGAUGAAAGCAUUCCACGAUUUGCUGUAUGGUUGUAUGGAUGAAAUUCAAAAGUCAUCUGGCCAAGUUAGAGAAAGGUUGAGAGGUGAAAGUGGACGUAACAAACUCAUGCAUAAUGUUCACUUACUUUCAUGAUGUCCUUUGGUAACAUUAGUCAUGGAGGAGGAUGACAUUGAGCGGAUGAUGCCCGACUCUGAGAUUUAUCAGCGUGUAAAAAUGUCUCAGCAUCAGGCUUUAACAAAGGACUUGACAAACUUGAUAACAGAGUAUACAACAGUUCAAGAGGAUUAUACGGAGAAAAUUAAAGCUAAAAUCAGACGACAACUACGUAAAUGUUCUAAAGUUUAAUAAUUAAACUGGAUUAGUUAUAUUGUGUUCGCAAUGAUUCUAGCUGACAACGGGAUAAACUUUGAUGUUGAGACUUUAAUGGAUCAAGGAAAUAUUUCGGCCCUAAUGCAAGGCGUGAGUUGAUAGUCAUGGAGGAAGAGCAAGCCAGAGGAACCAUUCAUUUUAUACAAGCUCGGCAUUCCGAGAUUAUAAAGUUGGAGAAAUCAGUCAAAGAAUUGAACAACCUUUUCGUGGAUGUGUCAAAUCUUACUGAACAACAGAGUGAAAUCCUGGACAAUAUUGGUUACAAUAUGGAGUUCUCAAAAGAGAAAGUUGGCACUGCAACAAGUGAUGUUAGACUGGCCCAUGAAUACACGCGGAAAGAUCGCAAGAAAAAAAUGGCCAUGGCGAUGUGCUUUGUUAUCGUUGGGAUCAUUGCAAUAAUGUCCAUUGCAAAUUUCUUUGGUUUCUAAAACCGUUAUCUCCAUAAAUACACGGUAAAGGUACUACUAAAAUAUGACAAUACUUGUGAAGUUACUCAAAAAUUAUAACCUGGGAGAUUUUCUGCAUGGAUCAUUGUUAAUACUAAAAAAUUAUAUGUAUAAUUUAGAAAUUGGGAUCAGAUUAUAAAAUAAAUGUUUUACUGUGUAAAUACUUAUGUAAGUAUGUACAUAAAUAUGCUCAUGUAUUGUUUUCAUUGCGCAAAUCAUAACGAAUACAAUUGAUCUAGACAAAAAAAUAUGGUCAUAUGUAUAAAAAAACGACUAUUCUGAGGAACAAAUUUGUUGGAUUUCAAACUCGAUGGCCCCAACACAUUCGAUGUAUUGCUGUGCAUGGGGCUGUCUUGGCUUAUACGAGGAUCGCUCAUAUCUUCAAACUCUAUCCGAAGCUGCAUUCAGAUAAACUCUUUUGGUUUUAAAUACAACAUGGUAAUCCUCAUCGUCCAAUAUUCCUAUUGUAUGGUAGCCUAAACAAGCUCUGGCUGAAUACAUAAGUUAGCAGGCAUGGUCGCCAUCGGAAUAUACGCCAUUUGUGUCUUCCUGGCGUCACUGAUGAAGUUUAACCUCUUUGG